rnacentral:misc_RNA from 1 species
GAUGAAGAACGCAGCGAAAUGCGAUACGUAAUGUGAAUUGCAGAAUUCAGUGAAUCAUCGAAUCUUUGAACGCACCUUGCGCUCCUUGGUAUUCCGAGGAGCAUGCCUGUUUGAGUGUCAGUUAAUUCUCAACCCCCUCUGGCUUUUGUAGCUGGAUUGCGGGGCUUGGAUGUGGAGGUUUAUGCUGGUUCUCUUAGAGAGUCAGCUCCUCUGAAAUGCAUUAGCGGAACCGUUUGCGAUCCGUCACUGGUGUGAUAAUUAUCUACGCCAAUUGGGGUUGCUCAUUGUUUGUUCAGCUUCUAAUAGUCCCUCUUACUGGGACAGCUUUUUGAACUCUUGACCUCAAAUCAGGUAGGACUACCCGCUGAACUUAAGCAUAUCAAUAAGCGGAGGA